ensembl:lncRNA
AGGGAGUAUUGGUACCGGGCAGAGGCUGCGGUCCCACCUCCAAUGCCUCGGGGGUGGCUGCAGCCGCCGGUCCGGGCACAGCGGCCACACGGUGUCACCCGCGUCCCACCGCCGGGCUCCGACAGGGCAGAGCAGCGAUGCUCUCCGGUGAGCGCUCCGGAACAAGGAAGCGCUGCCGGCCUGGAAUCGCAACCCCUUUUUCACGGCGUUUUUGAGAGCUAGGAUGCUGCCAAGUUUUUCCACCUGUUCUUUCCUUCCCCAUCCAUGAGAAAGUCUCCCAGGAGAGGAAUUACCACGGUCCAGUGCAGCCACAAGCAGGUUAAAAAGAAGGAUCCCAGUCCUGCUGCUGAUGGGUCUCCAGACAGCUUGGGUGUAACUUUCCACUUGGAUGUUCACAGUGUUUGGGAUACAGGCCAAAUAAAUCUCCAGCGUAAUCCCAAUUGUCAGGAGGCAUGUGGUCUCCUGAGGCACCAGACGUGUGUGAGAACAUGGAGAUGAGAGCUUUGAUGUGCCUUUGAGAGAACACUGGAAGAAACAGAGCAGAUACGGGAACUUCUCCAAUGGGAUGAACAGCUCUGAGAAGCAGCCUGGAGGAUACAUACAUGAUGGACCAUGCACUCCUGAGCCUGGCACAGCCUUCGGGGAGGGAGAUGCUCUGGCAAUGGGGAUGCAGCCUCUGACACCACCUAAAACAUGGUGUGUCAGCUGCUUCGUAACACAGCUCUUCUUGUCCUCUAUGCAGAUCUGCUUUCCUGCAAAGAGAACAAAGACAUCGUUUGUCCAGAGAAAGGUUUCUUCCAUCAAGCUCAGACACAUCCUGAAAGAAGUGCAUGAAGACUUGCAUGAGUUGGUGAUUGUGGAGACACUAAAAAGGUGAUGCUCACCAUGUCCUCUCCUGUUGGAAGCAGUAGCCUCAAAAUCCGCCCCCUCACCACCAUCCAAAGCCUCAAGCUAAGUAAGAGCAAUGCCAGGGCAGAUGGCUGCACAGCAGGGCUCUCAGCGUCACUGCUCACUCUUCCCCUACAUGCCCUGUCCUGCUCAGCAGUUUUCCCAUGAACUUAUCUGAGCGGCACUCUUUGCUUUGUGCUAUGAAAAUCAAAGAUGAGGUGUCCUGAAUGAAAAGCUCACAGUUACCACGAGGUCUGCCUCUCAAUGCGCUGGGAAUAGAAAUGUGGCAAUCAGACUUUGGGAUGAAAUCAUAUUGGACAUGCUGGCUUAAUCUCUAAAGUAUGAAAUUGUAAGGAAGGAAUUACAGCUAAAAAACAUUUCACAUUUUAGAAAGCUUCUCUGACCCAUGCUGGAUCAGGAGAGAGAAGGAAAAGAGGGUAAAAAAAAAAAAAAACCAACAACCCCAAACCUGUGGAAUUCAAAUGACUGUAGCCAUUUGGGUUAGAAAAAAUCCAUCAUCAAAUAAACAGACUCCUGCACUUGUACUGUGAUGCACGACUGUGUUUGUAAAGGAAAAGGCUGACUUUGGCUUAUUUCAAUUCUCAGGAUCAGGUUAUUUGCUAUUUGCAAAUACUUGGGUGUUAGCUUCAUGUAUCUUAGCCCAGUUCAUCUCACAAUCGUGUUUAUGUUAGAUAUGGUACAGUACUGAGCUAGCUGCUCUUCCAGUACACCUUUAUUUAGCUGGGCCAUCAGAGAGAAGAAACAAUAGCCCAUAGAUAGCCAGCUGCAGAAGAUGAAUUAUAAGCAGAAAAAUAAUCAUCAAGCAAUUUGUGGGUUCCUUGCUGGAAGACAUUUGCAAUUCAAUGAAUAUUAUCUAAUGUACAUCCAAAACCAGAGACUCUCGCUCUUCUAUUCCAUGAGUUGCAAAAAACAGCAACAACAACAAAAAACAACCAAACACCCAAAUUUUAGAAAACUGUAUUAUUCACGUCAUCAUAAAGAGAAAGGAGGACUGGGACAACAGUGGCGAUGAGUACUGCCACACUCGAUGGCACACCUUGAGUUCCGUCAUUAACACAAUAGAAUGGCAGCUCACUGUAGCAAUGUUUGAACUGCAUCUCAACUAGAUGGCA